rnacentral:lncRNA from 1 species
GGAAAUUGAAAGGAAAUGUCAUUUCCAAAAAGGAUUAAAACGAAAAAGAACCCAAGUUUGGAGUAACAUUUGGAAUAUUAAACUCCUAAGCAAUUGAAGUAUCCCGAAUAGCCAAUCAAAGGGAGACACACAAUAGACUAGGUCAAAAACGCAUUAGGUGGACCUAAUCAUGCCAUACGUAUAUCGCAUGGCAGAUUGUACAGUUUGGAAUGAGAAUAACAUCUUGACGGGCCAUAUCUCACCCUUA